ACUCAGGUCUACGCUGAACUUUCUCAGACUUUGAGAUUUAUAUUUCCAUUGUAUUUCACAUUCCUGGGCUUUGGCCAGAACCCUAACCUUUACCUUUAAGCACUUUUCCCUCCCUUUUAUGUUUGUUCCCUUUUUCCUUCCCUCCAGCUUGACCAUCUGUCUCCUUCCUUUUGCUUCCGUAGAACCAUAGACUAAGUACCUAGGGGUGAAACGGCACAUGUCAUCAAAGGAUUCGGUUUUCAGAAGUCAUCUCUGAUCUGGAUGUUAGAGCUACACCGUGGUCAAGAGACUCCCCCAGGCUCCUCUGGCUGUCUUCCUGCGCUACACAGCGAGCAUUUCCCCCAUUGCAUCUCUGAGGCACCAGGGCCCACUUUGGCAUCUGUUUCUGGGAAGACCUGAGCUGAAAUGAGAAUUCUUCCCCUGUGGUGGACUCGGGGGACAGUCCCGCAGCACCCACAGCUUGAGAAGCGCUGGUCUGGGAGGUGGUUCCAUUCUACCCUGCCCCCACUUUCCACAUGUCAGGUAGCUCUGAGGCAGAUAUUAGCACAAGGUGAGUUUACAUUUCUAGUUUCUGGUUUGGCACAUGAAGAGCUCAGAAGUUGUGAUCAUCCUAAUAAGUGAAAAACAGAAGAAACUAUAAAAUAAACAGCUCUUAGAAAAAGGAAGCCUCAGAAGAGACUGACAGAUGUCCACUUCCAGGGAAGCAGAAAAGAGUUUCCAGAGAAAAAUCUAUGUUCUAUUCUAAUCAAAUUUCCGACAUCUUUUGAUAAAUGUUCCGUCUCAGGGGCCUCUGAUCCCUGCCUCUCUGAGGGGGUGAUGCUGCGGGCAAUUAAAUCAAGUUCAAAAAUACUUAUUAAAUAAAAAUACAUGUCAGCAGCCCUGUCUUUCAGCAUAACACCCUCCUCACAAUGGCCAGGAAGACCAGCGUCUCCCUCAGCAGAAUGGUCAGCUCAGAUUUACUCAAUAUGGCAUUGGCUCUCUAAGUCAAAGGGACAUGCUGGCAGGUUCCAGAAAGGCUGGCCGUGGGAGCACAAGACUCAGCACCCUCUCCCCCUCCUCCUGCCAGAAUUGUCUGAAAUGAGGAAAGAAAUGUAAAAAUGCAAGACAACCAGAACCUGGGAUGCAGUAAGAAGGGGUGCAGUUCAUUGCCUCAAGGUGCAAAAGAGACUGCAGGUUCUCAGCCAGUGGGACCCCGGUGAAGGCAGCCGGAGGUCAAACUCACACUCCCUUCCAUGGGAAGCCCUGGAAAGUCGCCUGGAGUCAAAACAGACUCCAAAUGAGGAGUUGUGGGUAGAGCGUGGGAGAAAGAGAAAAGGCUGGGGGCGAUGGGUGGGGAGAGAGGAGAAGAGCUGAUCCGGGUGCAGCAGCUUUCCUACCCAGCGGGGCUGCACUUCCAGGUUCUAGGCGAGGCUGCCAAACUACACAGGACUUCUGGGAUUUCUUCUGACUCAGCUCCUUCCAGAAUAUUCCAGAGCUCAGGCUCUAGCUGGAGGGACCCUUUUCGGGCACUGCAGUGCUCCCUGCUGAUGGGACCAGUCAAGUCACAGAAAGUAACUUGACUGUCGCUCCCC